rnacentral:rRNA from 1 species
AUUGAACGCUGGCGGCAGGCCUAACACAUGCAAGUCGAGCGGAUGAAGGGAGCUUGCUCCUGGAUUCAGCGGCGGACGGGUGAGUAAUGCCUAGGAAUCUGCCUGGUAGUGGGGGAUAACGUCCGGAAACGGGCGCUAAUACCGCAUACGCCCUGAGGGAGAAAGUGGGGGAUCUUCGGACCUCACGCUAUCAGAUGAGCCUAGGUCGGAUUAGCUAGUUGGUGGGGUAAAGGCCUACCAAGGCGACGAUCCGUAACUGGUCUGAGAGGAUGAUCAGUCACACUGGAACUGAGACACGGUCCAGACUCCUACGGGAGGCAGCAGUGGGGAAUAUUGGACAAUGGGCGAAAGCCUGAUCCAGCAAUGCCGCGUGUAUGAAGAAGGUCUUCGGAUUGUAAAGCACUUUAAGUUGGGAGGAAGGGCAGUAAGUUAAUACCUUGCUGUUUUGACGUUACCAACAGAAUAAGCACCGGCUAACUUCGUG